rnacentral:lncRNA from 1 species
CAGUAUCCUGCAAUUUCGCCUUUUUGAUCAACAAGGGAUUGAAUCACUUCAAGGGGGGAACUCCUGGGUUGAGCUUACGAGGACUGUCAUUUCAAGGACGAUCAGUCCGGAUUUGACCGAUGUCGACAGUCUCGCCACGGCCUAUUGUCUUUUUCUGGAGAAGGGCCCGUCGAGUGAGAUAAUGAACGAUGCCCCGAUAAUCCUGAUC